GCGCCAGUUGUAUAACGGUAUUAUACCUGCCUUCCAAGCAGGCGACCCGGGUUCGACUCCCGGCUGGCGCA